UACGAAGGGGGCUAGCGUUGUUCGGAAUUACUGGGCGUAAAGCGCGCGCAGGCGGUCUUCCAAGUCAGUGGUGAAAGCCCGGAGCUCAACUCCGGAAUUGCCAUUGAAACUGUGAGACUGGAGUACGAGAGAGGUGAGUGGAAUUCCCAGUGUAGAGGUGAAAUUCGUAGAUAUUGGGAAGAACACCGGUGGCGAAGGCGGCUCACUGGCUCGUAACUGACGCUCAGGCGCGACAGCGUGGGGAUCAAACAGG
rnacentral:rRNA from 1 species